UAUUUUUUUCUCCAUAGUCAAAAAAAGGACAACCGCAACCAAGAGCAUGGUAGUAAAAUUGAGUGUAGCAUUUCGUGUGUAUAUAUAUAUAUUGCUUCUCUAUUCCACAUUUGAACCCUUUUUAUCGUUAAAUUCCUCGUUCUUCUCCUUUUCUCUUCAUUUCCUCUUUCGUCGCAGCAAUUUCUAAGGCGAGUUGAACGCAGGAAAGGUGACCAAAACCAAAACGCAAAAUGCAGUUGAGAUUUAGUACAGAAGUGACCCACGAAGGCCAUCGACGGACCGUCGUCUCAUCGAUGGACCGUAGAUGGUGACCGUCGAUUGGAAGUUUAUGUAUCUGGAGAAACUCGGGGAAAUAUGACCAAGUGUGGGGCUACAAUAGGAUCAAUGGUCCGUCAAUUGAUCGAUGGACCGUCUUGGUAAAUUGUCGAUCUGAUCAGAGAAUGUCCAGUAUCCGAAGUUGAAGAAAAGCUAAGUAUGGAAUGACAGAAUGCAUCGACGGACCGUAGGUGCAUCGACGGACCGUGUUGUUGGUCCGUCGAUUGGAUCAGAGAAGAUGCUAAGUCUGAAGUUAUUGAGGGCAGUCCACGGUCCGUCGUUUCAUCGACGGACCUUCUGUGGUGGUCAUCGAUUGAGGCUGUGCUUUUGGGACAACUUUCCUUAGUUUAAUUCCUUUUAAUUUAGGACAAUAUUUUCUAUAAAUAGGGUGUAAAACCUCAUUUUUGGAGUUGGAUUCUAUUACUACUUUUAUUAGUUUGUUUUUGGAGAUUGGGUUUUGUAACUUUAGCAUUAAUUCAAUUUUUCGGAUUUGGUUUUCAAGUGAAUUCUUAUUGUUUCAA